rnacentral:rRNA from 1 species
GACGAACGCUGGCGGCGUGCUUAACACAUGCAAGUCGAACGGAAAGGCCCUGCUUUUGUGGGGUGCUCGAGUGGCGAACGGGUGAGUAACACGUGAGUAACCUGCCCUUGACUUUGGGAUAACUUCAGGAAACUGGGGCUAAUACCUGAUAGGAGCUCCUGCUGCAUGUUUGGGUUUGGAAAGUUUCGGCGGUUGGGGAUGGACUCGCGGCUUAUCAGCUUGUUGGUGGGGUAGUGGCUUACCAAGGCUUUGACGGGUAGCCGGCCUGAGAGGGUGACCGGCCACAUUGGGACUGAGAUACGGCCCAGACUCCUACGGGAGGCAGCAGUGGGGAAUAUUGCACAAUGGGCGGAAGCCUGAUGCAGCAACGCCGCGUGCGGGAUGACGGCCUUCGGGUUGUAAACCGCUUUCGCCUGUGACGAAGCGUGAGUGACGGUAAUGGGUAAAGAAGCACCGGCUAACUACGUG